rnacentral:rRNA from 1 species
GACGAACGCUGGCGGCGUGCUUAACACAUGCAAGUCGAACGGAAAGGCCCUGCUUUUGUGGGGUGCUCGAGUGGCGAACGGGUGAGUAACACGUGAGUAACCUGCCCUUGACUUUGGGAUAACUUCAGGAAACUGGGGCUAAUACCGGAUAGGAGCUCCUGCUGCAUGGUGGGGGUUGGAAAGUUUCGGCGGUUGGGGAUGGACUCGCGGCUUAUCAGCUUGUUGGUGGGGUAGUGGCUUACCAAGGCUUUGACGGGUAGCCGGCCUGAGAGGGUGACCGGCCACAUUGGGACUGAGCUACGGCCCCGACUCCUACGGGCGGCAGCAGUGGGGAAUAUUGCACAAUGGGCGGAAGCCUGAUGCAGCAACGCCGCGUGCGGGAUGACGGCCUUCGGGUUGUAAACCGCUUUCGCCUGUGACGAAGCGUGAGUGACGGUAAUGGGUAAAGAAGCACCGGCUAACUACGUG